GGAUCGAACUUGGGCCCUUGCGCUUGCGCAACAGGCUGCGAAACCACUGAGCUAAAUCCAUGUGCUCCCUCCCAAAGCUGCACGCUCCGUUGAAGAGGACGACCACCCCCGAUAGAGGAGGACCGUUUUCCCGGUCAAGGGUAUACGAGUAGCUGCGCUCCCCUGCUAGAACCUCCAAACAAGCUCUCAAAACAUACUAUACUUAAAAAUCUUUAGCAUAAGGACGAUUGUAGAAAAUAGUUGCAUCAUUGUUUCUAGAAAAGUAAAAUAGAAACAUGAAAUUUUAUAUU
rnacentral:snRNA from 1 species